rnacentral:rRNA from 1 species
UAGAGUUUGAUCAUGGCUCAGGACGAACGUUGACGGCGUGCUUAAUACAUGCAAGUCAACUGAAGCACCGGCAGUAAUACUGGUGUGGAGGUGGCGCACGGGUGAGUAACACGUAGGUAAUCUGCCUUCAGGUCUGACAUAACCCCGAGAAAUCGGGGCUAAUAGCAGAUGAUGCAGCGGCUUGACAUCAAGACAGUUGUUAAAGCUUCGGCGCCUGAAGAUGAGCCUGCGUCUGAUUAGCUAGUUGGCGGAGUAAUAGCCCACCAAGGCGACGAUCAGUAGCUGGUCUGAGAGGAUGAUCAGCCACACUGGAACUGAGACACGGUCCAGACUCCUACGGGAGGCAGCAGUAAGGAAUAUUGCUCAAUGGGAGAAAUCCUGAAGCAGCAACGCCGCGUGAGGGAUGAAGGGCUUUUGCUCGUAAACCUCUGUAGUGAGGGAAAAAAUUUCCAUUCUAUGGAAUAUGAUGGUACCUCAAAAGUAAGCCCCGGCUAACUACGUGCCAGCAGCCGCGGUAAUA